rnacentral:misc_RNA from 1 species
UACGAAGGGUGCAAACGUUGCUCGGAAUUAUUGGGCGUGAAGCGCACGUAGGCGGCUUUGCAAGUCGGAUGUGAAAGCCUUCGGCUCAACCAAGGAAGUGCAUCCGAAACUGCAGAGCUUGAGUACGAAAGAGGAUCGCGGAAUUCCCGGUGUAGAGGUGAAAUUCGUAGAUAUCGGGAGGAACACCAGUGGCGAAGGCGGCGAUCUGGGUCGAUACUGACGCUGAGGUGCGAAAGCGUGGGGAGCAAACAGG